rfam:Asian citrus Psyllid, Diaphorina citri - Florida Strain, whole genome shotgun sequence.
GCCCUAGUUCGCUUGGAAGAUAGCGCGUCUGCCUAGUAAGCACAAGGUCGCGGGUUCGAUUCCCGCUCGGGGCG